rnacentral:lncRNA from 10 species
GUAAGUCAGGGUUCUUCCACUUGUAAUGAACAACUUCCUUAACCUCAUUGUCUCAGGUUCCUCGCCUGAGAAAUGCGAGGAGAACGGCGCCUGCUGGUGGCGUGGGCUUGCCGAUGAAAUGAGCCAUUCACCCAUGCCUCUCAGCACAGGGCCUGCCCUGGGCCGCAUACUGUGCAUUGUCAGCUGCUGUCGGAGCUGGGCUAGCGGCCGCCUUGAGAGCCAGCAGUCCACGGGGGUUGGCGAGCUUCUGGGAGGAAAGGGUGGAACGUGACUGUCAGGUACAGAGCUACAGAGAACCCCAGCAUGAAGGAGUAGGUGGCAGGGGAGAAGGACUCAACAGAGAUGGAGAAAGACUAAGCCCAAAGGUGAUCAACAACAAGAGUGAAGGAGGAAGUGGUCAGCUGUGGCUGGGGCAAAACAAGCCCAGUAAGUUACAUUGGCCUGUGUUUGGUCAUCCAGGGACAAAGUGACCUUUUUAGUGCCUGUAGGCCCAGCGCGUUGGGGAAGAAUUUAGAAUGCAGUGGGGAUAGGUGUGAGAGGAGCGGGGGAAGUGAAGAUUGAGUUGAGACCACUGGCUGGAGAACUUGACCGGGAAGGGAGGGCAGAGAGCAGCAUGGGGUGAGGGGAGGGAAUGGAUCCAACGAGCGUCUUAGGAUGAGGGAGUUGUGAGCGCUCAACACCAUUACAAAGAAGGGAUCGGGGAUUGAUAGACUGACAGAUGCAUGCACAGAGGCAGGUAUGGAUGCAUGCACAGAGGCAGGGAUGGAUGGACGGACAAAUGCAUGCAUAGAGGCAAGGAUGGAUGGAUGGACAGAUGCAUGCACAGAGUCAGGGAUGGAUGAAUGGACAGAUGCAUGCACAGAGGCAGGGAUGGAUGGAUGGACAGAUGCAUGCACAGAGGCAGGGAUGAAUGGACAGAUGCAUGCACAGAGGCAGGGAUGGAUGGACAGAUGCAUGCACAGAGGCGGGGAUGGAUGGAUGGACAGAUGCAUGCACAGAGGCAGGGAUGAAUGGACAGAUGCAUGCACAGAGGCAGGGAUGGAUGUACGGACAGAUGCAUGCACAGAGGUGGGGAUGGAUGGACAGAUGCAUGCACAGAGGCGG